rnacentral:rRNA from 1 species
ACUCCUACGGGAGGCAGCAGUGGGAAUCUUAGACAAUGGGCGAAAGCCUGAUCUAGCCAUGCCGCGUGAGUGACGAAGGCCUUAGGGUCGUAAAGCUCUUUCGCCAGGGAUGAUAAUGACAGUACCUGGUAAAGAAACCCGGCUAACUCCGUGCCAGCAGCCGCGGUAAUACGGAGGGGUUAGCGUUGUUCGGAAUUACUGGGCGUAAAGCGCGCGUAGGCGGAUCAGAAAGUUGGGGGUGAAAUCCCAGGGCUCAACCCUGGAACUGCCUCCAAAACUCCUGGUCUUGAGUUCGAGAGAGGUGAGUGGAAUUCCGAGUGUAGAGGUGAAAUUCGUAGAUAUUCGGAGGAACACCAGUGGCGAAGGCGGCUCACUGGCUCGAUACUGACGCUGAGGUGCGAAAGUGUGGGGGAGCAAACAGGAUUAGAUACCCUGGUAGGCUCUG